GGAGAGGUGUCCGAGUCGGCCGAAGGAGCACGCCUGCUAAGCGUGUAUAUGGGGAACUGUAUCGAGAGUUCAAAUCUCUCCCUCUCCGCCA
rnacentral:tRNA from 1 species